rnacentral:tRNA from 1 species
AGCAGCGUGGCUUAGUGGCUAGCGCAUGGGCUUGGGACUCAGAGGUCAUGGGUUCUAAUCCCGGCUCUGCCA